UCCCUAGGGGACUAGUGGUUAAGCCAUGCUGCUCUCUCUGCCAUGGCCCAGGUUUGAUUCCUGGCCAGGGAU
rnacentral:tRNA from 1 species